CAAGAUUUCAAUUCAACAAGCAUUCAUCCAUUCCGAUUCCAUCUACGAAGGUUACUUCUGAUACUGAAGUGAAUAAUCUAUUUCAAUUGAACAAUAUUCACAUAACUCUCCUCUUUUGUGUGACUUUAGUAAAGAAUGAUGUCGUCGAAUGUGAAUCCAAGGACGGUGAAACCAAGGAUUAAAAUAUGUACAAUGAAUCUCGAAGCCUUGGCUUUAAUAUAUGUGUAUAAUGCAACUCUACAAGCCCCCUUUAAUUGUUCGAAUAAGGUAAGUAUUUAUAGAAAAAAUUUAUGCAAAAUACUUAUUGAAAAGAGACAAAAUCAAAAUUUGUACGCUAAAACUAUGGGCACGUGGAAGACUUGGGAAAAAAAAAAAAAAAAACACCACUGAAAGAAUAAAAAAUCGAAGUAUAUAUGGCUAGCAACUAGUAUUUUCAACAUACAGUGUGAUACGAGCUGUCAUUGGCCGAUGGUGGGGGAACAGCUACGUACAAGGAUGAUUGAGAAAUGCGUUGAUUUUGUGAUGUGGCAGUAACCAAGGUAUGACGAUGUUGAAUUUACUUGUGGCAAUAUCGCAUGACAGAAUUUGAGACGCAUAUCAGAUUUUGAAUUGAUCGAUGGGUUGAUGCGGCAAAUAUUCAACGGCAUUGAUACCUUUUUGUCAAGCUGACUUCAGUCCAUGAAUUCUAUUUAUCUUCAAAGAUAAGGGAUGCAUGCGACGACGAUCAAGAGUAGUUUUUCUUUGUGUUUGGAUGAUGGAGCAAUUUCAAAUUAUGUAGGCUGAAAACUACCAAAAUGACAAGCAAUUUGGGUUGUAAACUGUCAUAUGAAUUUGUCUUUAAAUUAUAAGUGUUGAGAACUUUGUUUGAUAGAGAGGCAGAUUAUUAGAGCUUGAAUGAGGCAACUAAUCAAUAUGAUGGCCCUUUUAUGCAUAUUGUAUGUGUUUAUUUGUUUUGGCGAGAAAUAAAAUUGGGACAGUUCCCAUCAUAGAAAACUUCUGGGCAUACUUUUGCAAAUUGAUACCACCAUUAGGGCUAGCCCUAAUGGUGGGGGAGUUGGAGGGUUGUGAAGUGGUGACAGUGGAGAAUUUAGGACUAAACUAUAAUGUUUCAAAAAAUUUAGGAUCAUGAUUGCAAUUAAUUAAUUAUUUAUUUAUUAUUUUGUUUUAUUUUAUUUGAAUAGAAUGGUAAAAUCGUUAUUUUUAUUAGAAAAUGGAUGAAAAGAAAUACCUUUUGCUCAAUGAGGGAUAAAUGUAGGGAUGAAAAUGUAAAAAAAAUGGAAGGUAAUUACGUCUUAAAGUGGGAUUUUGUGUCAAUUACCCAUUUGUGAUACCACAGCCUCCAAGUUGUCAAAACCACGACCUACACCUCCCGACAGCAACACAACCACCACCACUGCUUCACAACCACCGCAACAGCAGCGACUACCACCAGCACUGCCACCAACACAACCUAACAGUGCCGCAGCCACACAAAAUCACUUAAAUUCUGUCUCAUAUAAAUUCUCUCUCAUAAGCAACAACAGCAUCUCCAAACCCACCAUUGCGACGCAACCACCACCAUUAUCAUACACUGCAACCUACAUCUCCACCACACCCGCCUAUGCCAAAUCUUCUACCCUCUCAACCACAAAUCUGGACAUUUUUGUAUCAUGUAUUCAAAAUACCCAAUCUGAGCACUAGAUGGAACCCUAAGCCGAAUAUCUUCAAUUCGGGAAAAAAAAAAAAAAAAAAACCAUUACAAACCAGUCCUUGACAACAAUCCCGCUUGCGGAAGCCUCCUUAAAACUUCCCACAAACAACUCCUAAUCAACUUUCUUGAGCUCGAAACAUCAACCAUACAUCUCUAUUCUCGAUUCAGUUUUGUCCCUGACAUCGUCCACUACUGCCACAACCAGAUCCAACAAAAACACUUUGUCGUCAUCAUCCCCGCUACCACGGCGCUGCCACAAACACCAAACAAAAAAAUCCAAACCUAGUUUCUAGUGCGCCUGAGAAUGCAGAUCACCUGGAACCGUUGAUGCAAAAAAGUAGCGUCUUGAUGCUGGGCGCCGCUGUCACGAACGGCAGCACAAUGCUGCUGUGAUUGCUUGAAAUUAGGAGAAUUAGAUAGAGCAUCGUUGGUAGAGAGAAGGUAACCAAUCACUGUUGUAAAAAUUGGGAGACGGAGAUGGGGAGAGUGAUGCCAUAGAGAGAUGAGGAUAGAGAGAGCCAAAAGAGAGG
rnacentral:lncRNA from 1 species